CAUAUCAUUCUAUAAGCAGCAGCUAAAUUUCUCAAUUUCACUGUGAUUUCUUGCCGUUUUGGAAAGUGACAAUAAGUUGGCUACGUACCAUUCUUGACCUUUUGACUUCGGAACCACUGCUGACCAAAUCCUAGCUUGCCUUGUUUAAGUCAGUAGCUCUAUUAUCACUCUGAUCCUCUCCCAGAGGGUCUGAAGCUUUCACUCAUGCUCCUGAACGGGUAAGCUCCCCCUCUAGUGUUCACUGCUCAUCAGAUUAUUCCUCCAACAAAUAAGACAGAGAACUGCCUGUGUUUUUGGUUCCCUAUCGAAGGACGGAGCUUGGGACAACAUUUAUAACGGUUUAAUGACACAAAGAGUAAAAGGUGCUGCAGCCCAUCCAUCUGCUGAAUGUUGCCAAGUAACAGCCAUCCAUGGAACAUGGAAAAAUGAAUUCACCCGGCCAGGCCCAAAUUGUUGACCCACAGAACAUGAGAUGCAGAAGCUCUAACCAAGGAUUCCCAGAGAGAAAGAGUAGAGCCAUGAGACGAAGGGAGCCUGGGUCCCCAAAUCACCAUGUCGGAGCUCUUCAGCCAAAAGCUGACACUGAGCUGCUACGUGAGCAAGAGAUACCUUGCCCAGCUAUAGUGCAGUAAUAUCAUCAUGGCUCACUGCAAUCUCGACUUCUCCAGCUCAAACAAUCCUCCCACCUCAGCCUCCCAAGCAGUUGGGACUACAGGCACGUGUCACUACACCCAGGACAGGGUAUCACUCUGUUGCCCAGGUUGGAUUCCAGUGGCAUGAUCAUGGCUCAGUGCAGUCUCGACUUCUGGAGUUCAAGCGAUUCCCCCAUCUCAGCCUCCUCAGUGGCUAGGAUCACAGGUAUACACCACCAUACCCAGGAAGAACAUAUGUACUGCUGUUUUGCCAUAAACUCUGAUGUGCCUCAACUGGCUUCCAACUUCAGUCUAUUCUGGAAGGCUGUACUUACAGGUCUCAGCCAGCAAGCUGAAACUGACAAAGGAGCGUUCCACUUCUCUGCUGUAAAAGUUGUACUUACCUUGUUUUCAUGAAACCAAUCUCCGUUUCCAAGGAAACAAGAACAAAAAGGCAGUUGGCAGCUAGCAUCUGAGACUUAGAAGAACUCUCACAUGUCAAUUUCAACUGCUGGCUGCCGGCUCAAACGUAAAGAUGUGGGGUAUUAAAAUCACCUUCAGACUUGUAACGUACGAAAGAAUAUUAAGGUUUUUUCCUUAGGGUUUAAAUAAUCAAGUUUAAUAGCAAACCAUUUAAAAUAUCCUUUGAAAUACUAUAACAAAUAUUAUAAUUGUUAAAAAUUAUCUAAUAUAAAAACUUGUUUUAUUUAAAAACAGUAGGCACAUAUAUUGCAGAUAUUUUCUCAGUUUUACACCAUAAAUUUUUGCCACUUUUCCCCUUUUACUUAAUCAUUUCACUUUCUCCUUUUUAAAUAAUGAUUCAUAUGGUCCCAACUACUUACUCCUUUUUCUUUUCUUUUUUUUUUUUUUUUUUUUGAUUCAUGCAAAAUAUCCAGAUAGUGUCUGUUUUAUCCGUAAAGCUUUGUGGCCAUGUUUAGUGUUUUAAUAAAGUGUUUUAAUGAUGAAACAUGAAAAUGCACAUUGUCAUUUUUCUCUUAAAAAUAUAAUUUCAUGAUUCUAGGCUUGGACACCUACAUUAACACAACCCGCUUCUUCCGAAUAGCACUUGUUCGUUUCACAUGGGUAGGCACUUCAGAGUUUACUGCAGUCCUCAUCAUUCCAUGCAGUCUCCAGGCCUUCUGUGUCAUGGCUUUUAGAUACGUUUGAGUUUUUAGACUCCUGCUAAAAGACAAACCUGGUUGGUAAGCAAGAUUUGCACAGGAAUGGGAAAGAUACUUUUUGCCUGGAAAACAGAAACUUGUGGAAAUUCUUUAGGCAUUUAGAUAUUCCUAUGAAAAGAUGAAUAAUUUUUUUUAAUAUAUAUAUUAUUAUACUUUAAGUUCUAGGGUACAUGUGCACAACAUGCAGGUUUGUUACAUAUGUAUACACGUGCCAUGUUGGUGUGCUGCAGCCAUUAACUCGUCAUUUACAUUAGGUAUAUCUCCUAAUGCUAUCGAUGAAUAAUUUUUAAGAAAAUGGAAUUUCAAACUGAUACUUACACUCUGUCUUGGGUUAUAUUAUUUUAUAUUAUCCUACUAUUUAAUACUAGCUUUAAGUUAAAAAUGUAAGUCUUUUAGAAUUUCCCUCUUUUGAAUGUUUUGUCACUUUACAGUAUACUAAUGUCCUUUGAAAUCCAGGAUGCCUGUGAAUAGAUAUUAGUAGGUGAAAUAUUAUGAAAAAUUGUACAGGAAGUAAUUUAUCAGAUAUGUGAUGUGGACUUAUUUUAUUACAUUUUAUUGGUACCGCAUUCGUAAUGGGCUCUAAGGAUAAAUUUGUAUAAUUUUGGAAACUGUCAUGUUAGACUUCUGCAAUUAAAUAUGCUUACUUUUCUACAAAAUAGAAAUAUGAUCAAUAGUAAGAUAAUAAACUUAGGAAGGAACAUUUUUAUUGUAACUUCACCUAAUUUCUGUGUUCCCAAAUCUGUACUUGUAAAAAUAUUUUAUUGUAUUUUCUUUUCUUGGCACGACAUUCCAGUAAUUUACAUUUCUCACUUGUAAAUUCAGAUAAUGUUUAAUAUUUUCACAUUUUCUGGACUAGGCAUAUGAGAUGCUCAUGAUCAACAUCUUUUGCUACUGUUGGAAAGUCAGCUUAGGGGGACGGGUGCAGUGGCUUAUGCCUGUAAUCCCAGCACUUUGGGAGGCCGAGGUGGGGGAUCAUGAGGUCAGGAGAUCGAGACCAUCCUGGCCACCAUGGUGAAACCCUGUCUCUACUAAAAAUACAAAAAUUAGCUGGGCGUGGUGGCUCACCCUUGUAGUCCCAGCUACUUGGGAGGCUGAGGCAGGAGAAUCGCUUGAACCUGGGAGGCAGAGGUUGUAAUAAGCCGAGAUUGCUCCACUGCACUCCAGCCUGGGCAACAAGGGAGAAACUCCGUCUCAAAAAAAAAAAAAAAAGUCAACUUAGGGGAAAAACCAUGAGCACUUGCUUGAAAGCCAUAAUAAAGACUACUCAAGAAGUAGUUGCAAAGAAUUGAUAAUGUUAUAAGUGAUAAAAAUUUAUCUCCUAAGUUUGAGAAACCUCCAAAGUUGGAAAAUAUUGCAAACUUUACUCCAAAAUACAGUCAAAUUAAAAAAUAAAACCAAACCCCAGUAUCACCGUUUUUAGAUUUUUUAGUUAAUAUAUAAGUCACUUAUCAUAAAAUUCACCAUUUAAAAAUGUACAAUUUAUGGUUUCGGUAUAUUCACAAUGUUGUACCACCAUCACCUCUAGCUGAAGGAAUUUUUUUUUGUCACCCUAAAAAGAAACCCCUCACUCAUUAUCAGCCACUCUCCAUUCCCUUCCUCCAUUCUCUGGCAACAGAUUUAUUUUCUUCCUCUAUGUAUUUGCCUAUUCUGGAUGUUUCAUGUAAAUAAAAUUACAUAAUAUGUGACCUUUUGCAUUUGGCUUCUUUCCUUAAGCAUGAUAUUUUCAAGGUUCAUCCAUGUUGCAGCAUAUAGUAUAUCAGUACUUUGUUCCUUUUUAUGUUGCAUAAAAUUCCAUUGCAUGAAUAUAAUAAAUUAUAUUUAUCCUUUCAUCAGUUGAUAGCAUUUUCUGUUGUUUCUAAUUUUUGGCUAUUAUGAAUAAUGUUGAUAUGAACAUUCACGUACAUUUUGGUGUGAACAUAUGUUUUUGAUUCUCUUGGGUAUACACAUAGGAUUGGAUUGCUGGGCCAUAUGGUAAUUCCAAAAUAUUAUUUUAAUUGAAAUAAUACAAACAAGUUUUUGUAAUGUUGGAAAUGGGACUGAAGGUAGAAGAGUAUACAAUUUUACCCAAAAAUUGCUCUUAAAAGCUUAUCAAUAACAACAAAACACAAGCAAACACCUGUCAAGUAUAGUUGUUUGUAGAGUGAUGCUUCUCUUUGUUUGUUUCUGUUUGGGUUUUUGUUCCUAUUUAUAUAAUAAGAUUUUAGUAACAAAGGAUUUAGCAUCAUAUAUUACUCAGAAAUCAGAUGUGCUAAUUUCAAGUUUUGAAAAUAUAAAAAUAUAGGCUCAAAAUAUUUAGAUAAAUUAGAAGCAG